UGGGGGAUAUUGCGCAAUGGGGGGAACCCUGACGCAGCCAUGCCGCGUGAAUGAAGAAGGCCUUAGGGUUGUAAAGUUCUUUCGGUAUUGAGGAAGGUUGCUGUGUUAAUAGCACAUCAAAUUGACGUUAAAUACAGAAGAAGCACCGGCUAACUCCGUGCCAGCAGCCGCGGUAAUACGGAGGGUGCGAGCGUUAAUCGGAAUAACUGGGCGUAAAGGGCACGCAGGCGGUUAUUUAAGUGAGGUGUGAAAGCCCUGGGCUUAACCUAGGAAUUGCAUUUCAGACUGGGUAACUAGAGUACUUUAGGGAGGGGUAGAAUUCCACGUGUAGCGGUGAAAUGCGUAGAGAUGUGGAGGAAUACCGAAGGCGAAGGCAGCCCCUUGGGAAUGUACUGACGCUCAUGUGCGAAAGCGUGGGGAGCAAACAGGAUUAGAUACCCUGGUAGUCCACGCUGUAAACGCUGUCGAUUUGGGGGUUGGGGUUUAACUCUGGCGCCCGUAGCUAACGUGAUAAAUCGACCGCCUGGGGAGUACGGCCGCAAGGUUA
rnacentral:rRNA from 1 species